UUGCAGUUGAACCUUCAGCCAUGAGGCUCCUUCACCUUGUUUUUGGGCUUCUCUGCAUGAUGAUGCUGGUGGUUCCAGGAUUUUCUAAAAUCGGUAAUGCCAAGCAGUGUCGUGAAGCCCAUGGAAAAUGUGUGAGGCGCAGAUGUCCUGGUGACUACAAGCGCAUCGGGAAUUGUGCUAGAAAGAUUGCCUGCUGCAGGCGUUAACUGGUGACCGCCUGGCCACAUCUCAAUGACCUGCUUGGAAUUCACUGCCUCCUGCCGCUGUGAAACUUCUAUGGACCACACACUUGGGAUUUUACUACACAGAGAGAUGUGAUUGCCUCCCACCUAAAUAAAAACAACUUGUAAUGCAA